rnacentral:misc_RNA from 1 species
GUAUAGAUUUAUAGGCACAAAAGGCCCAUUCUGUUACAUUCUAAAACAUACAUUUGGGGUAUAUGAAGAAACAUAGGCCUGGAAAUGUAAGGAGAGACAUAAAGUCAAUUCCUCGAACCUGAAAUGCAAGGGCAUUCAGAAAGAUUACCCAGGUCUACAAAAGGUGCACAGGUGGAGAUAUAAAGAUGACAAGUGUGCACAUGCUCCCUAGAGAGCCAGCAACAACUCAUCAGGUUUAUUUCAAUAAUGAUCCUUCCGCAGGUUCACCUACGGAAA